rnacentral:rRNA from 1 species
AGAACGAACGCUGGCGGCAUGCCUAAUACAUGCAAGUCGAACGAACUCUUCGGAGUUAGUGGCGCACGGGUGCGUAACGCGUGGGAAUCUGCCCCUUGGUUCGGAAUAACAGUUGGAAACGACUGCUAAUACCGGAUGAUGACGAAAGUCCAAAGAUUUAUCGCCAAGGGAUGAGCCCGCGUAGGAUUAGCUAGUUGGUGAGGUAAAGGCUCACCAAGGCAACGAUCCUUAGCUGGUCUGAGAGGAUGAUCAGCCACACUGGGACUGAGACACGGCCCAGACUCCUACGGGAGCAGCAGUAGGGAAUAGUUGGACAAU